GACGAACGCUGGCGGCGUGCUUAACACAUGCAAGUCGAGCGGAGCGGCGAACGGGUGAGUAACGCGUGAGUAACUGCCCCCCUCUCUGGGAUAACAGUUGGAAACGGCUGCUAAUACCGGUUAGUGGGGGAUGACUCUCGUCCUAUCGGCUUGUUGGUGGGGUAGUGGCCUACCAAGGCGACGACGGGUAGCCGGCCUGAGAGGGCGACCGGCCAAAUUGGGCGGAGAUACGGCCCAAACGCGUACGGGAGGAAGCAGUGGGGAAUAUGGCACAAUGGGGGAAACCCUGAUGCAGCAACGCGCGUGCGGGAGGACGGCAUUCGGGUUGUAAACCGCUGUCAGCCAUGACGCGGUAGUGGCAGAAGAAGCACCGGCGAACUACGUGCCAGCAGCCGCGGUAAUUC
rnacentral:rRNA from 1 species